GUGUUGUAUAAAAGGAAAUAAAUUUAACAUGUCCCUUAAUAAGGAUGGAAGAAGUCCUCAGGCCUGACAACAGGUACAUGAUUAAGGCAUUGCCACUUACUUUCUGGCAUUCAACCAUUAUUUUUU
ensembl:snRNA